UUCACGAAUGUUUGCCUAUUUCCUCCUUUUUUUGAAAACAGCGUUGGAGCUUUUGGGGAGUUUUCAAGAGGAAAUCAAGGGGUUCAUAGUGGUAAGUUUCUUAAGACUAACACUCGUGAAUAUGGUGAUUUUCAAUUUUUUAUGCAUAAAAUUGGUAGAAAUUAGGGAUGAAAUUUAGGGGUUAGGGCUUGGUAAUUGGACUAGUUCGAGGUAAGUAAUGAUUGUAAAUCUUGUAUUAAGGGUAUGAAACUCCGGAUUUCACAUCGUUUCAAAAAAUUGAGGAAUGCACAUGCUAGAUAACGAGCGUGUGGGUGUGCACCGUUGGGGAUUGUUACUUGGUCCGUCUCGUAGCAACUAUUAAGUUGUGUAUUUCAAUGGAAACUAUGUGAUACUUAUGUGCUUUAGCAAGAAUUUCUAUGAUUUGGGCUGAAUCCUAAGUUGUUUGGACCCUUUUUCUUAUUCUUUCCUCACUAUUUUGAAUUAAGAUCUGUACUUAGUCAUGCUAUGCUUUACUGAUUUCAUAACUUAGUCUAUAUUGCUACAUUUUGAUGCAUAAAAUAAUAUUUUUGGGUUGAGCACUCUAUUUUACUAAUAGCUCGAGUGGCUUUAUAGGUUUCUGACUAAAUGAGGUCAAGGGCCUGUGUCAUGAGGAUAUUAUAGGAUCAGGAUACGCGCCGCAACACGUCGUUAUUGAUUUGUGAUUCUUGAGAGACCAAUGGCCUGAUUGAUUAUACCACGAGGUGGCUUGUUAUAGUGCUUGGGCUGUAGCAGCCCCUCCGGAGUCUUCACUCCCCCAGUGAGCAUGAAUAUCAUGAGUG
rnacentral:lncRNA from 1 species